GACGAACGCUGGCGGCGUGCCUAAUACAUGCAAGUUGAGCGCUGAAGGUUGGUACUUGUACCAACUGGAUGAGCAGCGAACGGGUGAGUAACGCGUGGGGAAUCUGCCUUUGAGCAGGGGACAACAUUUGGAAACGAAUGCUAAUACCGCAUAAAAACUUUAAACACAAGUUUUAAGUUUGAAAGAUGCAAUUGCAUCACUCAAAGAUGAUCCCGCGUUGUAUUAGCUAGUUGGUGAGGUAAAGGCUCACCAAGGCGAUGAUACAUAGCCGACCUGAGAGGGUGAGCGGCCACAUUGGGACUGAGACACGGCCCAAACUCCUACGGGAGGCAGCAGUAGGGAAUCUUCGGCAAUGGACGAAAGUCUGACCGAGCAACGCCGCGUGAGUGAAGAAGGUUUUCGGAUCGUAAAACUCUGUUGGUAGAGAAGAACGUUGGUGAGAGUGGAAAGCUCACCAAGUGACGGUAACUACCCAGAAAGGGACGGCUAACUACGUG
rnacentral:rRNA from 1 species